GACGAACGCUGGCGGCGUGCUUAACACAUGCAAGUCGUACGGUAAGGCCCUUUCGGGGGUACACGAGUGGCGAACGGGUGAGUAACACGUGAGUAACCUGCCCACAACUUUGGGAUAACGCUAGGAAACUGGUGCUAAUACUGGAUAUGUGCUCCUGCUGCAUGGUGGGGGUUGGAAAGCUCCGGCGGUUGUGGAUGGACUCGCGGCCUAUCAGCUUGUUGGUGGGGUAGUGGCCUACCAAGGCGGCGACGGGUAGCCGGCCUGAGAGGGUGACCGGCCACAGUGGGACUGAGAUACGGCCCAGACUCCUACGGGAGGCAGCAGUGGGGAAGAUUGCACCAGGGGCGCAAGCCUGAUGCAGCAACGCCGCGUGCGGGAUGACGGCCUUCGGGUUGUAAAACGCUUUCAGCAGGGACGAAGCUUUUUGUGACGGUACCUGCAGAAGAAGCACCGGCUAACUACGUG
rnacentral:rRNA from 1 species